CGUGAGCAGCCCAGGAGCCACGUGAAUUGCUGGUGCCCUGGAGCACACAGACUGCGUGCAGAAAGAGCAUCUUCCAGAGGAAGCAAAGGCACGACUGCCUGAGUCCCAGUAACUCGUGUGCAGUUCUCCUCCCACAGUUAUUAGGUGAUGCUGCCAGUGAUGACGAGUGGACCAUGUUGCUAUCUGUCAGUAACAGUUAGAGAAGUUGGAAUAUUGUUCUCAAACACAGUGGUUUCUGCUGGACACUAAGGACUGCUAUAAAU